CGGWUWAGUUAGAAAGGGCGCACGGUGGAUGCCUUGGCACUAGGAGCCGAUGAAGGACGGGACGAACACCGAUAUGCUUCGGGGAGCUGUAAGCAAGCUUUGAUCCGGAGAUUUCCGAAUGGGGAAACCCACCACUCGUAAUGGAGUGGUAUCCAUAUCUGAAUACAUAGGAUAUGAGAAGGCAGACCCGGGGAACWGAAACAUCUAAGUACCCGGAGGAAGAGAAAGMMAAUGCGAUUCCCUGAGUAGCGGYGAGCGAAACGGGACCAGCCCAAACCAAGAGGCUUGCCUCUUGGGGUUGUAGGACACUCUGUACGGAGUUACAAAGGAACGAGGUAGAUGAAGAGGUCUGGAAAGGCCCGCCAUAGAAGGUAACAGCCCUGUAGUCAAAACUUCGUUCUCUCCUGAGUGGAUCCUGAGUACGGCGGAACACGUGAAAUUCCGUCGGAAUCCGGGAGGACCAUCUCCCAAGGCUAAAUACUCCCUAGUGACCGAUAGUGAACCAGUACCGUGAGGGAAAGGUGAAAAGCACCCCGGAAGGGGAGUGAAAGAGAUCCUGAAACCGUGUGCCUACAAGUAGUCAGAGCCCGUUAAUGGGUGAUGGCGUGCCUUUUGUAGAAUGAACCGGCGAGUUACGAUCCCGUGCAAGGUUAAGCAGAAGAUGCGGAGCCGCAGCGAAAGCGAGUCUGAAUAGGGCGAAUUGAGUACGUGGUCGUAGACCCGAAACCAGGUGAUCUACCCAUGUCCAGGGUGAAGUUCAGGUAACACUGAAUGGAGGCCCGAACCCACGCACGUUGAAAAGUGCGGGGAUGAGGUGUGGGUAGGGGUGAAAUGCCAAUCGAACCUGGAGAUAGCUGGUUCUCUCCGAAAUAGCUUUAGGGCUAGCCUCAAGGUAAGAGUCUCGGAGGUAGAGCACUGAUUGGACUAGGGGCCCCUACCGGGUUACCGAAUUCAGUCAAACUCCGAAUGCCGAUGACUUAUCCUUGGGAGUCAGACUGCGAGUGAUAAGAUCCGUAGUCGAAAGGGAAACAGCCCAGACCGCCAGCUAAGGUCCCAAAGUAUACGUUAAGUGGAAAAGGAUGUGGAGUUGCUUAGACAACCAGGAUGUUGGCUUAGAAGCAGCCACCAUUUAAAGAGUGCGUAAUAGCUCACUGGUCGAGUGACUCUGCGCCGAAAAUGUACCGGGGCUAAACGUAUCACCGAAGCUGCGGACUGUUCUUCGAACAGUGGUAGGAGAGCGUUCUAAGGGCUGUGAAGCAAGACCGGAAGGACUUGUGGAGCGCUUAGAAGUGAGAAUGCCGGUAUGAGUAGCGAAAGAGGGGUGAGAAUCCCCUCCACCGAAUGCCUAAGGUUUCCUGAGGAAGGCUCGUCCGCUCAGGGUUAGUCGGGACCUAAGCCGAGGCCGAAAGGCGUAGGCGAUGGAUAACAGGUUGAUAUUCCUGUACCACCUCCUCACCAUUUGAGCAAUGGGGGGACGCAGGAGGAUAGGGUAAGCGCGGUAUUGGAUAUCCGCGUCCAAGCAGUUAGGCUGGGAAAUAGGCAAAUCCGUUUCCCGUGAAGGCUGAGCUGUGAUGGCGAGCGAAUUAUAGUAGCGAAGUUCCUGAUUCCACACUGCCAAGAAAAGCCUCUAGCGAGGUGAGAGGUGCCCGUACCGCAAACCGACACAGGUAGGCGAGGAGAGAAUCCUAAGGUGAUCGAGAGAACUCUCGUUAAGGAACUCGGCAAAAUGACCCCGUAACUUCGGGAGAAGGGGUGCUCUGUUAGGGUGCAAGCCCGAGAGAGCCGCAGUGAAUAGGCCCAGGCGACUGUUUAGCAAAAACACAGGUCUCUGCGAAGCCGUAAGGCGAAGUAUAGGGGCUGACGCCUGCCCGGUGCUGGAAGGUUAAGAGGAGCGCUUAGCGUAAGCGAAGGUGCGAAUUGAAGCCCCAGUAAACGGCGGCCGUAACUAUAACGGUCCUAAGGUAGCGAAAUUCCUUGUCGGGUAAGUUCCGACCCGCACGAAAGGCGCAACGAUCUGGGCACUGUCUCAACGAGAGACUCGGUGAAAUUAUAGUACCUGUGAAGAUGCAGGUUACCCGCGACAGGACGGAAAGACCCCGUGGAGCUUUACUGCAGCCUGAUAUUGAAUGUUGGUACAGCUUGUACAGGAUAGGUAGGAGCCUUGGAAACCGGAGCGCCAGCUUCGGUGGAGGCAUCGGUGGGAUACUACCCUGGCUGUAUUGACCUUCUAACCCGCCGCCCUUAUCGGGCAGGGAGACAGUGUCAGGUGGGCAGUUUGACUGGGGCGGUCGCCUCCUAAAAGGUAACGGAGGCGCCCAAAGGUUCCCUCAGAAUGGUUGGAAAUCAUUCGCAGAGUGUAAAGGCACAAGGGAGCUUGACUGCGAGACCUACAAGUCGAGCAGGGACGAAAGUCGGGCUUAGUGAUCCGGUGGUUCCGCAUGGAAGGGCCAUCGCUCAACGGAUAAAAGCUACCCCGGGGAUAACAGGCUUAUCUCCCCCAAGAGUCCACAUCGACGGGGAGGUUUGGCACCUCGAUGUCGGCUCAUCGCAUCCUGGGGCUGUAGUCGGUCCCAAGGGUUGGGCUGUUCGCCCAUUAAAGCGGUACGCGAGCUGGGUUCAGAACGUCGUGAGACAGUUCGGUCCCUAUCCGUCGCGGGCGCAGGAAAUUUGAGAGGAGCUGUCCUUAGUACGAGAGGACCGGGAUGGACGCACCGCUGGUGUACCAGUUGUUCUGCCAAGGGCAUCGCUGGGUAGCUAUGUGCGGACGGGAUAAGUGCUGAAAGCAUCUAAGCAUGAAGCCCCCCUCAAGAUGAGAUUUCCCAUUCCGCAAGGAAGUAAGAUCCCUGAAAGAUGAUCAGGUUGAUAGGUCUGAGGUGGAAGUGUGGCGACACAUGGAGCUGACAGAUACUAAUCGAUCGAGGACUUAACCAAUUU
rnacentral:rRNA from 1 species